UACGUAGGGGGCAAGCGUUGUCCGGAAUCAUUGGGCGUAAAGCGCGCGUAGGCGGCCUUGUAAGUCCGCUGUGAAAGUCAAAGGCUCAACCUUUGAAUGUCAGCGGAUACUGCCGGGCUAGAGUCCGGAAGAGGCGAGUGGAACUCCUGGUGUAGCGGUGAAAUGCGCAGAUAUCAGGAAGAACACCAACGGCGAAGGCAGCCCGCUGGGACGAAACUGACGCUAAGGCACGAAAGCGUGGGGAGCGAACAGG
rnacentral:rRNA from 1 species